GCGGGUGUAGCUCAAUGGUAGAGUUCUGGCCUUCCCAAGCCAGCUGUGAGGGUUCGAUCCCCUUCACCCGCUCCA
rnacentral:tRNA from 1 species